rnacentral:rRNA from 1 species
CUUUUGGAUGGACCCGCGGCGUAUUAGCUAGUUGGUGAGGUAAUGGCUCACCAAGGCGAUGAUACGUAGCCGAACUGAGAGGUUGAUCGGCCACAUUGGGACUGAGACACGGCCCAAACUCCUACGGGAGGCAGCAGUAGGGAAUCUUCCACAAUGGACGCAAGUCUGAUGGAGCAACGCCGCGUGAGUGAAGAAGGCUUUCGGGUCGUAAAACUCUGUUGUUGGAGAAGAAUGGUCGGCAGAGUAACUGUUGUCGGCGUGACGGUAUCCAACCAGAAAGCCACGGCUAACUACGUGCCAGCAGCCGCGGUAAUACGUAGGUGGCAAGCGUUAUCCGGAUUUAUUGGGCGUAAAGCGAGCGCAGGCGGUUUUUUAAGUCUGAUGUGAAAGCCCUCGGCUUAACCGAGGAAGCGCAUCGGAAACUGGGAAACUUGAGUGCAGAAGAGGACAGUGGAACUCCAUGUGUAGCGGUGAAAUGCGUAGAUAUAUGGAAGAACACCAGUGGCGAAGGCGGCUGUCUGGUCUGUAACUGACGCUGAGGCUCGAAAGCAUGGGUAGCGAACAGGAUUAGAUACCCUGGUAGUCCAUGCCGUAAACGAUGAAUGCUAGGUGUUGGAGGGUUUCCGCCCUUCAGUGCCGCAGCUAACGCAUUAAGCAUUCCGCCUGGGGAGUACGACCGCAAGGUUGAAACUCAAAGGAAUUGACGGGGGCCCGCACAAGCGGUGGAGCAUGUGGUUUAAUUCGAAGCAACGCGAAGAACCUUACCAGGUCUUGACAUCUUUUGAUCACCUGAGAGAUCAGGUUUCCCCUUCGGGGGCAAAAUGACAGGUGGUGCAUGGUUGUCGUCAGCUCGUGUCGUGAGAUGUUGGGUUAAGUCCCGCAACGAGCGCAACCCUUAUGACUAGUUGCCAGCAUUUAGUUGGGCACUCUAGUAAGACUGCCGGUGACAAACCGGAGGAAGGUGGGGAUGACGUCAAAUCAUCAUGCCCCUUAUGACCUGGGCUACACACGUGCUACAAUGGAUGGUACAACGAGUUGCGAGACCGCGAGGU